rnacentral:rRNA from 2 species
UUUUUAUGAGAGUUUGAUCCUGGCUCAGGACGAACGCUGGCGGCGUGCCUAAUACAUGCAAGUCGAACGCUUCUUUUUCCACCGGAGCUUGCUCCACCGGAAAAAGAGGAGUGGCGAACGGGUGAGUAACACGUGGGUAACCUGCCCAUCAGAAGGGGAUAACACUUGGAAACAGGUGCUAAUACCGUAUAACAAUCGAAACCGCAUGGUUUUGAUUUGAAAGGCGCUUUCGGGUGUCGCUGAUGGAUGGACCCGCGGUGCAUUAGCUAGUUGGUGAGGUAACGGCUCACCAAGGCCACGAUGCAUAGCCGACCUGAGAGGGUGAUCGGCCACAUUGGGACUGAGACACGGCCCAAACUCCUACGGGAGGCAGCAGUAGGGAAUCUUCGGCAAUGGACGAAAGUCUGACCGAGCAACGCCGCGUGAGUGAAGAAGGUUUUCGGAUCGUAAAACUCUGUUGUUAGAGAAGAACAAGGAUGAGAGUAACUGUUCAUCCCUUGACGGUAUCUAACCAGAAAGCCACGGCUAACUACGUGCCAGCAGCCGCGGUAAUACGUAGGUGGCAAGCGUUGUCCGGAUUUAUUGGGCGUAAAGCGAGCGCAGGCGGUUUCUUAAGUCUGAUGUGAAAGCCCCCGGCUCAACCGGGGAGGGUCAUUGGAAACUGGGAGACUUGAGUGCAGAAGAGGAGAGUGGAAUUCCAUGUGUAGCGGUGAAAUGCGUAGAUAUAUGGAGGAACACCAGUGGCGAAGGCGGCUCUCUGGUCUGUAACUGACGCUGAGGCUCGAAAGCGUGGGGAGCAAACAGGAUUAGAUACCCUGGUAGUCCACGCCGUAAACGAUGAGUGCUAAGUGUUGGAGGGUUUCCGCCCUUCAGUGCUGCAGCUAACGCAUUAAGCACUCCGCCUGGGGAGUACGACCGCAAGGUUGAAACUCAAAGGAAUUGACGGGGGCCCGCACAAGCGGUGGAGCAUGUGGUUUAAUUCGAAGCAACGCGAAGAACCUUACCAGGUCUUGACAUCCUUUGACCACUCUAGAGAUAGAGCUUCCCCUUCGGGGGCAAAGUGACAGGUGGUGCAUGGUUGUCGUCAGCUCGUGUCGUGAGAUGUUGGGUUAAGUCCCGCAACGAGCGCAACCCUUAUUGUUAGUUGCCAUCAUUCAGUUGGGCACUCUAGCAAGACUGCCGGUGACAAACCGGAGGAAGGUGGGGAUGACGUCAAAUCAUCAUGCCCCUUAUGACCUGGGCUACACACGUGCUACAAUGGGAAGUACAACGAGUCGCGAAGUCGCGAGGCUAAGCUAAUCUCUUAAAGCUUCUCUCAGUUCGGAUUGCAGGCUGCAACUCGCCUGCAUGAAGCCGGAAUCGCUAGUAAUCGCGGAUCAGCACGCCGCGGUGAAUACGUUCCCGGGCCUUGUACACACCGCCCGUCACACCACGAGAGUUUGUAACACCCGAAGUCGGUGAGGUAACCUUUUGGAGCCAGCCGCCUAAGGUGGGAUAGAUGAUUGGGGUGAAGUCGUAACAAGGUAGCCGUAUCGGAAGGUGCGGCUGGAUCACCUCCUUUCUAAGGAA